GCGGAGNGAUCAUUAUCCAUCUCAACCAGGUGCGGUCGCGGCCCUCGGGGGUUCUCUC
rnacentral:rRNA from 1 species